GGCAGAGGGUGCAAACGUUGUUCGGAAUUACUGGGCGUAAAGCGUGUGUAGGCGGUCUGCUAAGUCGGGUGUGAAAGCCCUGGGCUCAACCCAGGAAGUGCACUCGAAACUGGCAGGCUAGAGUACUGGAGAGGUUGGUGGAAUUCUCGGUGUAGAGGUGAAAUUCGUAGAUAUCGAGAGGAACACCGGUGGCGAAGGCGGCCAACUGGACAGAUACUGACGCUGAGACGCGAAAGCGUGGGGAGCGAACAGG
rnacentral:rRNA from 1 species